rnacentral:rRNA from 1 species
AUUGAACGCUGGCGGCAGGCCUAACACAUGCAAGUCGAGCGGAGCGGCGGACGGGUGCGUAAUGCUUAGGAAUCUGCCUGGUAGUGGGGGAUAACGUCAGGUAACGGGCGCUAAUACCGCUACCUAUCAGAUGAGCCUAGGUCGGAUUAGCUAGUUGGUGGGGUAAAGGCCUACCAAGGCGACGAUCCGUAACUGGUCUGAGAGGAUGAUCAGUCACACUGGAACUGAGACACGGUCCAGACUCCUACGGGAGGCAGCAGUGGGGAAUAUUGGACAAUGGGCGAAAGCCUGAUGCAGUCAUGCCGCGUGUGUGAAGAAGGUCUUCGGGUUGUAAAGCACUUUAAGUUGGGAGGCGUUACCAGCAGAAUAAGCACCGGCUAACUUCGUGCCAGCAGCCGCGGUAAUUC